UACGGAGGGGGCUAGCGUUGUUCGGAAUUACUGGGCGUAAAGCGCACGUAGGCGGCUUUGUAAGUUAGAGGUGAAAGCCCAGGGCUUAACCCUGGAAUUGCCUUUAAGACUGCAUCGCUUGAAUCGUGGAGAGGUGAGUGGAAUUCCGAGUGUAGAGGUGAAAUUCGUAGAUAUUCGGAAGAACACCAGUGGCGAAGGCGACUCACUGGACACGUAUUGACGCUGAGGUGCGAAAGCGUGGGGAGCAAACAGG
rnacentral:rRNA from 1 species